CUAAUAUCCAGAAUCUACAAGGAACUCAAAUCAGCAAGAAAAAACAAACAAAGAAUCCCAUCAAAAAGUGGGCUAGGGACAUGAAUAGACAAUUUUCAAAAGAAGAUAUACAAAUGGCCAAGAAGCAUAUGGAAAAAUACUCAACAUCACUAAUUAUCAGGGAAAUGCAAAUCAAAACCACAAUAUGAUACCACCUCACUCCUGCAAGAAUGGCCAUAAUAAAAAAAUAAAAAAAUAAUAGAUGUUGGCAUGGAUGCGGUGAAAAGGGAACACUUUUACACUGUUGGUAGGAAUGUAAACUAGUACAACCACUAUGGAAAACAGUGUGGCAAUUCCUUAAAGAACUAAAGGUAGACCUACCAUUUGAUCCAGUAAUCCCAUCACUAGGUAUCUUCUCAAAGGAAAAAAAAAGUCAUUAUACAAAAAACAUACUUGCACAGGCAUGUUUAUAGCAGCACAAUUCACAAUUGCAAAAAUAUGGAAGCAGCUCGAAUGCCCAUCAAUCAAUGGAGUGGGUAAAGAAAAUCUGGUAUAGAUAUACCAUGGAAUACUGCUCAGCCAUAAAAAAGAACGAAAUAAUGGCAUUCACAGCAACCUGGGUGGAAUUGGAGACUAUUAUUCUAAAUGAAGUAACUCAGGAAUGCAAAACCAAACAUCCUAUGUUCUCACUCAUAUGUGGGAGCUAAGCUAUGAGGACACAAAAGCAUAAGAAUGAUACAUUAGACUUUGGGGACUUGGGGGGAAAGGGUCCGGGGUGUUCAGGGAUAAAAGACUACAUAUUGAGUACAGUGUACACUGCUCAGGUGAUGUGUAUGCCAAAAUUCUCAGAAAUUACCACUAAAGAACUUAUCUAUGUAACCAAACACUACCUGUUCCCCAGAAACCUAUUGAAAAAAAAACCAAAAACAAUGGUUUUCAUCUUUUUUCCCCAGUGUUUUCCAUGUUUUAGUUAUAUAAAUAGCACCUUCAUAAUUUUUGACAUAUAAGUAUUGCAUUGACAAUUGAUGAAAUAAGUGAGUAUAUGCAAAAUAAGUAUAUUGAUUAAAUGAGUAUAUACAUUACUAUAUAGCAAAUAAGUGUUUGAUAAUGCCAACUAUUGUUAUCUUUAUUAUUUUUCUUUAAAUAAACUUUAUUUAAAAACUUAUUUAUCUACUUUAGCGUUACCCUAAGUAAUACUAUCUGUGAUAUUACAGUUUUGAUGUCUAACAUAUUUGUUGUAAUACAAUUUAAGGCACAUACUUAACAAUUACUAGUGUUUAUAUCCUCAUAUGCUUCAAAAAAUCUUUUGUCUCAUUAGUGUUAACU
rnacentral:lncRNA from 1 species